rnacentral:tRNA from 1 species
GGCCUGGUGGCCUAAUGGUAAGGCGUCACUUUCCGGUUUAAAUCAAGUUCAGAACACUUGAUCCAUAGAUCAGUAUGGUGAAGAUUGCGGGUUCGAGUCCCGUCUGGGUGU